CAUGGACAACGAGGAGGAGACGUACCGGCUCUGGAAAAUCCGUAAGACCAUCAUGCAGCUGUGCCACGAACGUGGCUACCUAGUGACCUAGGACGAGCAUGACCUCACACUGAAGGAGUUCAAAGCCCAGUUUGGGGACAAGCCAAGUGAGGGGCAGCAGUGGUGCAAGGACCUUACCGCACUGGUGGCCCACAACGAUGACCUCACCGACCAGAUGUUUGUGUUCUUUCCAGAGGAGCCCAAGGUGGGCAUCAAGACCGUCAACGUGUCCUGCCGGUGCCUGCAGCAGGAGAGCCUCACACGGGCCCUCAUCGUGGCGCAGCAGGGCAUGAGGCCCUCCGCCAAGCAGUCCCUGGUCGACAUGGCUCCCAAGUACAUCCUAGAGCAGUUUGUGCAGCAGAAGUUGCUCAUCAACAUCACAGAACAUGAGCUAGUAGUCUCUGAGUACGUCAUCAUGACCAAGGAGUGGGUGACAGAGCUGUUGGCCCGAUAUAAGCUCUGAGAGAACCAGCUGCCCAGGAUCCAGGCGGGGGACGCCGCGGAGCACUAUUUUGGGAUAAAGGAUGGGCAGGUGGUGAAGAUUGCCCAACACAGCUAGAUGGUGGGCAGGUACCUCACCUACGGGUUGGUGCAGUAA